GAGGAAUAUUGGUCAAUGGGCGAGAGCCUGAACCAGCCAAGUAGCGUGCAGGAAGACGGCCCUAUGGGUUGUAAACUGCUUUUAUGUGGGGAUAAAGUGAGCUACGUGUAGUUUAUUGCAGGUACCACAUGAAUAAGGACCGGCUAAUUCCGUGCCAGCAGCCGCGGUAAUACGGAAGGUCCAGGCGUUAUCCGGAUUUAUUGGGUUUAAAGGGAGCGUAGGCCGUGGAUUAAGCGUGUUGUGAAGUGUAGACGCUCAACGUCUGAAUUGCAGCGCGAACUGGUUCACUUGAGUAUGCACAACGUAGGCGGAAUUCGUCGUGUAGCGGUGAAAUGCUUAGAUAUGACGAAGAACUCCGAUUGCGAAGGCAGCUUACGGGAGCACAACUGACGCUGAAGCUCGAAGGUGCGGGUAUCAAACAGGAUUAGAUACCCUGGUAGUCCGCACAGUAAACGAUGGAUGCCCGUUGUUAGUUCACUUAAGAAUUAGCGACCAAGCGAAAGCAUUAAGCAUCCCACCUGGGGAGUACGCCGGCAACGGUG
rnacentral:rRNA from 1 species